CUACGGGCGGCUCCAGUGAGGAAUAUUGCACAAUGGGGGGAACCCUGAUGCAGCAACGCCGCGUGGAGGAUGACGCAUUUCGGUGUGUAAACUCCUUUUAUAUGUCAAGAAAAUGACGGUAGCAUAUGAAUAAGCACCGGCUAACUCCGUGCCAGCAGCCGCGGUAAUACGGAGGGUGCAAGCAUUACUCGGAAUCACUGGGCGUAAAGGACGCGUAGGCGGGUUGGAAAGUCAGGUGUGAAAUCCUACAGCUUAACUGUAGAACUGCACUUGAAACUGUUAAUCUAGAGUAUGGGAGGGGGAGAUGGAAUUAGUGGUGUAGGGGUAAAAUCCGUAGAUAUCACUAGGAAUACCGAAAGCGAAGGCGAUCUCCUGGAACAUUACUGACGCUAAGGCGUGAAAGCGUGGGGAGCAAACAGGAUUAGAUACCCGCGUAGUC
rnacentral:rRNA from 1 species